rfam:TPA: Bos taurus chromosome 6, whole genome shotgun sequence.
AUGCAAUCUGUAGCAGUGUCUGACAACUGCAA